rnacentral:rRNA from 1 species
CAGUCGCCACGGGAAUACGAAGGGGGCUAGCGUUGUUCGGAUUUACUGGGCGUAAAGGGCGCGUAGGCGGACUGAUAAGUCAGGGGUGAAAUCCCAAGGCUCAACCUUGGAACUGCCUUUGAUACUGUUUGUCUUGAGUUCGAGAGAGGUAAGUGGAACUGCGAGUGUAGAGGUGAAAUUCGUAGAUAUUCGCAAGAACACCAGUGGCGAAGGCGGCUUACUGGCUCGAAGCUGACGCUGAGGCGCGAAAGCGUGGGGAGCAAACAGGAUUAGAUACCCCUGUAGUCCCUGUCUCUUAUAC